rnacentral:rRNA from 1 species
UAGAUCCUACGGGACGCAGCAGUGAGGAAUAUUGGUCAAUGGACGAGAGUCUGAACCAGCCAAGUAGCGUGAAGGAUGACUGACCUAUGGGUUGUAAACUUCUUUUAUAUGGGAAUAAAGUGAGGAACGUGUUCCUUUUUGUAUGUACCAUAUGAAUAAGCAUCGGCUAACUCCGUGCCAGCAGCCGCGGUAAUACGGAGGAUGCGAGCGUUAUCCGGAUCUAUUGGGUUUAAAGGGUGCGUAGGUGGUUAAUUAAGUCAGCGGUGAAAGUUUGUGGCUCAACCAUAAACUUGCCGUUGAAACUG